UUGCUGCUCUCUCCGUCCAACAAAAGAUAUCUCAAAUUUGUCAAAAUUUGGAUGUAUUUAGACAUGACUUAGUGUAUAGAUGCAUUCAAAUUUAGUCAAAGUUGAGACAUUUUUUGUUGGACGGAGGAAGUAGAAG
rfam:Brachypodium distachyon strain Bd21 chromosome 2, whole genome shotgun sequence.